UACGUAGGUGGCAAGCGUUGUCCGGAAUUACUGGGUGUAAAGGGAGCGUAGGCGGGAAGCCAAGUCAGCUGUGAAAACUACGGGCUUAACCUGUAGACUGCAGUUGAAACUGGUUUUCUUGAGUGAAGUAGAGGUUGGCGGAAUUCCGAGUGUAGCGGUGAAAUGCGUAGAUAUUCGGAGGAACACCGGUGGCGAAGGCGGCCAACUGGGCUUUAACUGACGCUGAGGCUCGAAAGUGUGGGGAGCAA
rnacentral:rRNA from 1 species